UAUACGAUGAAGAGUUUGAUCCUGGCUCAGGAUGAACGCUAGCGGCAGGCUUAACACAUGCAAGUCGAGGGGUAUAAGUCUUCGGAUUUAGAGACCGGCGCACGGGUGCGUAACGCGUAUGCAAUCUACCUUUUAC
rnacentral:rRNA from 1 species